GGCGUGGGCGAAGUUCGUCCGCGGGACUCGGAAUGGCACCAGACUUGGCGGGCGGCCUCCGUGUGCCAAAAAUAGGCCACGGGCACAGCCGCGCCCAAAAAACAGCCCCCGAAGUUCGGGGUCCCAAGACCCCCCAGCGGAAAAAUGGCCAAAAAACGGUGGAAUAUAGCCUUGGUGGGGGGCGUGGGCGAAGUUCGUCCGUGGGACUCGGAAUGGCACCAGACAUGGCGGGCGGCCUCCGUGUGCCAAAAAUAGGCCACGAGCACAGCCGUGCCCAAAAAACAGCCCCCGAAGUUCGGGGUCCCAAGACCCCCCAGCGGAAAAAUGGCCAAAAAACGGGUGGGCUAUAGCCUUGGUGGGGGGCGUGGGAGAAGUUCGUCCGCGGCACUCGGAAUGGCACCAGACUUGGCGGGCGGCCUCCGUGUGCCAAAAAUAGGCCACGGGCACAGCCGCGCCCAAAAAACAACCCCCGAAGUUCGGGGUCCCAAGACCCCCCAGCGGAAAAAUGGCCAAAAAACGGUGGGCUAUAGCCUUGGUGGGGUGCGUGGGCGAAGUUCGUCCGCGGGACUCGGAAUGGCACCGAACAUGGCGGGCGGCCUCCAUGUGCCAAAAAUAGGCCACGGGCACAGCCGCGCCCAAAAAACAGCCCCCGAAGUUCGGGGUCCCAAGACCCCCCAGCAGAAAAAUGGCCAAAAAACGGGUGGGCUAUAGCCUUGGUGGGGGGCGUGGGCGAAGUUCGUCCGCGGGACUCGGAAUGGCACCGAACAUGGCGGGCGGCCUCCGUGUGCCAAAAAUAGGCCACGGGCACAGCCGCGCCCAAAAAACAGCCCCCGAAGUUCAGGGUCCCAAGACCCCCCAGCGGAAAAAUGGCCAAAAAACGGGUGGGCUAUAGCCUUGGUGGGGUGCGUGGGCGAAGUUCGUCCGUGGGACUCGGAAUGGCACCAGACUUGGCGGGCGGACUCCGUGUGCCAAAAAUAGGCCACGGGCACAGCCGCGCCCAAAAAACAACCCCCGAAGUUCGGGGUCCCAAGACCCCCCAGCGGAAAAUGGCCAAAAAACGGUGGGCUAUAGCCUUGGUGGGGGGCGUGGGCGAAGUUCGUCCGUGGGACUCGGAAUGGCACCAGACUUGGCGGGCGGCCUCCGUGUGCCAAAAAUAGGCCAUGGGCACAGCCGCGCCCAAAAUCAACCCCCGAAGUUCGGGGUCCCCAGACCCCCCAGCGGAAAAAUGGCCAAAAAACGGUGGGCUAUAGCCCUGGUGGGGUGCGUGGGCGAAGUUCGUCCGCGGGACUCGGAAUGGCACCAGACUUGGCGGGCGGCCUCCCUGUGCCAAAAAUAGGCCACGGGCACAGCCGCGCCCAAAAAGCAGCCCCCGAAGUUCGGGGUCCCAAGACCCCCCAGCGGAAAAAUGCCCCAAAAACGGUGGGCUAUAGCCUUGGUGGGGGGCGUGGGCGAAGUUCGUCCGUGGGACUCGGAAUGGCACCAGACUUGGCGGGCGGCCUCCGUGUGCCAAAAAUAGGCCACGGGCACAGCCGCGCCCAAAAACAACCCCCGAAGUUCGGGGUCCCAAGACCCCCCAGCGGAAAAAUGGCCAAAAAACGGUGGGCGAUAGCCUUGGUGGGGUGCGUGGGCGAAGUUCGUCCGCGGGACUCGGAAUGGCACCAGACUUGGCGGGCGCCCUCCGUGUGCCAAAAAUAGGCCACGGGCACAGCCGCGCCCAAAAAACAGCCCCAGAAGUUCGGGGUCCCAAGACCCCCCAGCGGAAAAAUGGCCAAAAAACGGGUGGGCUAUAGCCUUUGUGGGGGGCGUGGGCGAAGUUCGUCCGCGGGACUCGGAAUGGCACCAGACUUGGCGGGCGGCCUCCGUGUGCCAAAAAUAGGCCACGGGCGCAGCCGCGCCCAAAAAACAGCCCCCGAAGUUCGGGGUCCCAAGACCCCCCAGCGGAAAAAUGGCCAAAAAAUGGGUGGGCUAUAGCCUUGGUGGGGGGCGUGGGCGAAGUUCAUCCGCGGGACUCGGAAUGGCACCAGACUUGGCGGGCGGCCUCCGUGUGCCAAAAAUAGGCCACGGGCACAGCCGCGCCCAAAAAACAGCCCCCGAAGUUUGGGGUCCCAAGACCCCCCAGCGGAAAAAUGGCCAAAAAACGGUGGGCUAUAGCCUUGGUGGGGGGCGUGGGCGAAGUUCGUCCGUGGGACUCGGAAUGGCACCAGACUUGGCGGGCGGCCUCCGUGUGCCAAAAAUAGGCCACGGGCACAGCCGCGCCCAAAAAACAACCCCCGAAGUUCGGGGUCCCAAGACCCCCCAGCGGAAAAAUGGCCAAAAAACGGGUGGGCUAUAGCCUUGGUGGGGGGCGUGGGCGAAGUUCGUCCGCGGGACUCGGAACAGCACCGAACAUGGCGGGCGGCCUCCGUGUGCCAAAAAUAGGCCACGGGCACAGCCGCGCCCUAAAAACAUCCCCCGAAGUUCGGGGUCCCAAGACCCCCCAGCGGAAAAAUGGCCAAAAAACGGGUGGGCUAUAGCCUUGGUGGGGGGCAUGGGCGAAGUUCGUCCGCGGGACUCGGAAUGGCACCAGACUUGGCGGGCGGCCUCCGUGUGCCAAAAAUAGGCCACGGGCACAGCCGCGCCCAAAAAACAGCCCCCGAAGAUCGGGGUCCCAAGACCCCCCAGCGGAAAAAUGGCCAAAAAACGGUGGGCUAUAGCCUUGGUGGGGGGCGUGGGCGAAGUUCGUCUGUGGGAGUCGGAAUGGCACAGGACUUGGCGGGCGACCUCCGUAUGCCAAAAAUAGGCCACGGGCACAGCCACGCCCAAAAAACAGCCCCCGAAGUUCGGGGUCCCAAGACCCCCCAGCGGAAAAAUGGCCAAAAAACGGGUGGGCUAUAGCCUUGGUGGGGGGCGUGGGCGAAGUUCGUCCGCGGGACUCGGAAUGGCACCAGACUUGGCGGGCGGCCUCCGUGUGCCAAAAAUAGGCCACGGGCACAGCCGCGCCCAACAAACAGCCCCGGAAGUUCGGGGUCCCAAGACCCCCCAGCGGAAAAAUGGCCAAAAAAUGGGUGGGCUAUAGCCUUGGUGGGGGGCGUGGGCGAAGUUCGUCCGCGGGACUCGGAAGGGCACCAGACUUGGCGGGCGGCCUCCGUGUGCCAAAAAUAGGCCACGUGCACAGCCGCGCCCAAAAAACAGCCCCCGAAGUUCGGGGUCCCAAGACCCCCCAGCGGAAAAAUGGCCAAAAAACGGGUGGGCUAUAGCCUUGGUGGGGGGCGUGGGCGAAGUUCGUCCGCGGGACUCGGAAUGGCACCAGACUUGGCGGGCGGCCUCCGUGUGCCAAAAAUAGGCCACGGGCACAGCCGCGCCCAAAAAACAGCCCCCGAAGUUCGGGGUCCCAAGACCCCCCAGCGGAAAAAUGGCCAAAAAACGGGUGGGCUAUAACCUUGGUGGGGGGCGUGGGCGAAGUUCGUCCGUGGGACUCGGAAUGGCACCAGACUUGGCGGGCGGCCUCCGUGUGCCAAAAAUAGGCCACGGGCACAGCCGCGCCCAAAAAACAACCCCCGAAGUUCGGGGUCCCAAGACCCCCCAGCGGAAAAAUGGCCAAAAAACGGUGGGCUAUAGCCUUGGUGGGGGGCGUUGGCAAAGUUCGUCCGCGGGACUCGGAAUGGCACCAGACUUGGUGGGCGGCCUCCGUGUGCCAAAAAUAGGCCACGGGCACUGCCGCGCCCAAAAAACAGCCCCCGAAGUUCGGGGUCCCAAGACCCCCCAGCGGAAAAAUGGCCAAAAAACGGGUGGGCUAUAGCCUUGGUGGGGGGCGUGGGCGAAGUUCGUCCGCGGGACUCGGAAUGGCACCAGACUUGGCGGGCGGCCUCCGUGUGCCAAAAAUAGGCCACGGGCACAGCCGCGCCCAAAAACCAGCCCCCGAAGUUCGGGGUCCCAAGACCCCCCAGCGGAAAAAUGGCCAAAAAACGGGUGGGCUAUAACCUUGGUGGGGGGCGUGGGCGAAGUUCGUCCGUGGGACUCGGAAUGGCACCAGACUUGGCGGGCGGCCUCCGUGUGCCAAAAAUAGGCCACGGGCACAGCCGCGCCCAAAAAACAACCCCCGAAGUUCGGGGUCCCAAGACCCCCCAGCGGAAAAAUGGCCAAAAAACGGUGGGCUAUAGCCUUGGUGGGGGGCGUGGGCGAAGUUCGUCCGCGGGACUCGGAAUGGCACCAGACUUGGCGGGCGGCCUCCGUGUGCCAAAAAUAGGCCACGGGCACAGCCGCGCCCAAAAAACAGCCCCCGAAGUUCGGGGUCCCAAGACCCCCCAGCGGAAAAAUGGCCAAAAAACGGUGGGCUAUAGCCUUGGUGGGGGGCGUGGGCGAAGUUCGUCCGCGGGACUCGGAAUGGCACCAGACUUGGCGGGCGGCCUCCGUGUGCCAAAAAUAGGCCACGGGCACAGCCGCGCCCAAAAAACAGCCCCCGAAGUUCGGGGUCCCAAGACCCCCCAGCGGAAAAAUGGCCAAAAAACGGUGGGCAAUAGCCUUGGUGGGGGGC
rnacentral:lncRNA from 1 species